GCCACCGUGCCUGACCUAGAGUCUCACAUUUUUGAAGUUGAAGACAAACAUUUCAAUCAUGGAUUGGAGACCCAGGAUAUAAACUGGAUAGUCAGAAGUCUAAGCAUGGCUCCUAUCCUCAAGAAGCUUACAGUCCGAGAAAUAAGAUGACUAGUGUGAAUUGCCAAGAAUGAUUAUAAGAGGUGCAGAUUACUCACACCUGAAAACAAGAGUGAAGAAGUCUGUUCAAAAGGGACUGAGGAACUUGGCGACAGACCAUUAUAACAGCCUAAGUGAGUGUCAGUAAAGCCCUGCUCUGGGGAAUACACAGGAAAGAAUAAACAGGAUAAAUUACUUAAAAGAAGAAUCAAGAAGACUUGGCAAAUGUUCGGCUAUACAAAUAGUGGAAAAGUGGGAGAUGAGAUUUUGAGUUCAAACACUGGGAGAAUUGAGCGUAGUCAGUCCUACGUGGAAUAUCAAGAAUAUUUAGUAAGGUGAUCGCUUCAAUUUUGGGUAUCUGAAGUUUAUCAGUAAGACAUUGGAUGGAACUGGAAAAACCAAACUUGGACAUCACCAGCUCUCAGGUGGUAUUAAAAGUCACAGGAAAGAGAGACGAUUCCAUGGCAGACUACACAGAAGAGAGAGAAGGCACACACCAAGACCUGGGAAAGCCCAUCCCCUGAAGCUUACACUAUGAGGUGACACGUCUCCAGGUAUGCGCCAGAAGAAUCCCCCAUCCCCUCACACUCACCCCAGGUGUUCUCAGAGUGCAGAGUCUG